rnacentral:lncRNA from 1 species
AUGACUAGUAAUGUAUCUGCUACAUGUGUACAAUGUCAGGCUGGUAACGGUAAUACUUGGGCUCCCAUUGAACCUUGUUCCUUGGGAGUCCCUUCUUGUGGAAAUGACUUGUACAAUUUGACUGUGACAUUUCGGUAUUGGGAACAGGUGUAUAGUACUCAACAUUUCCGGCAAAUUCCCGCACCUACACCAAUAGCUCAGCCCUUUCACACCUUUCAUCCAUCUUUAUGGCAUUUGGCCAUACCGUUUGAGCUAAUUGAAGUAGGUCUACAAAUUUGUCCAUGUAAAGAUACUGAUCCGUUUUAUAAAGACUUCCCUUUUUCUAUGUGGCAGUUGGUGUUUAGGAAUUUGAAUUCUACCUGUCAUGACACUUCAGAUAGUAUGGACAGAUUCUGCUAUAUAUUCGAAGGUCAAGUAUAUACUCCCCCUAAUUAUGCCUUCGGACUCUGUACACCCGAUGAUACUGUUUUUGCGCCUCAACAACAACGGGCAGGCUUAAUUCCCUAUAGGGUGACAUGCUCGAAUUUGACUUUAACAAAUGUCCUUACGUCUGCCUAUCGUAACAUGUAUAUUUUCAUUCUAACAUGUCCCAAAUAUACCUUGGUUCCCGUAAAAGCUAGUGUCCCUUGGGUGAAAGAACCAAUAGAUGAGUUAUGGGCCAAAUUGGCUGAUGAAAAACCCCACAGAAAACGGGGCGUGGAAGACUUAGGUUUUGAUAUCAUUAAUAUCGUAUUCAGUAUUUGGGAAGAGUUUCAAAUUCAAGAUUUAUAUCAACAGCAAGGGUUCCUUGCAUCUACCCUUCAAAAGUUUCUCAUACAAGAAACACAGUUGUGGCAUACACAGAACAUAAUUAACCAAAAGCUCCAAAAUGAAAUUAAUGUGUUAGUGCCUAUAGUAGAGUUGUUAGGAGGUGAAUUGGCUUUACAUGAAUUAUUAUCCCAAGUUCCUUGUCAUUAUAAAUAUUAUCCCCUCUGCGUUACACCUUUACCUGUGAACGGCACAAACUCUUCCUUCCCAGGUACCUGGCCAUCUAUUUGUGCCGCUCUUCAAGGUGCUCUUCUUGCAAAUAAUGCUUCCUCUGAAAUCGAACAGCUUGCUGUGCUCCUAAAGGAAUUGCAAGGCAUUGCUGCCAAUUAUACCAGUCAAUCAAAUUCAGUUAUGAAUCUUGCCACUUGGCUACGUAAUCUUACUAGUUGGCAUUGGCUAAUUACUAUUAUAAGUCCUUCGUUAUGUAACUGCGUUGUACUGUUAAUUUUGCCUUCUUUGAUACGAUGUUUUAUCAUGCUUGUGAAAACUGCAAUUAUGCAUACCAAGGCUGACUUGCUUGCCUUACGCCCUGCUCCCUACCCUGAUGCCCACCAUACAGCCCCUGUUUAA